GAUGAACGCUGGCGGCGUGCUUAACACAUGCAAGUCGAACGGAAAGGCCCAAGCUUGCUUGGGUACUCGAGUGGCGAACGGGUGAGUAACACGUGGGUGAACUGCCCUGCACUUCGGGAUAAGCCUGGGAAACUGGGGCUAAUACCGGGUAGGACCACAUUUUGGAUGGUGUGGUGGAGAGUUUUUCGGUGUGGGAUGAGCUCGUGGCCUAUCGGCUUGUUGGUGGGGUAAUGGCCUACCAAGGCGUCGACGGGUAGCCGGCCUGAGAGGGUGUACGGCCACAUUGGGACUGAGGUAAGGCCCAGGCUGCGACUGGUGGGAGCAGGGGGGAAGAUUGCAGAAGGGGCGCAAGGCGGAUGCAGCGAGGCCGCGGGUGGGAUGACGGCCUUAGGGGUGUAAACCACUUGCGCUAGGGACGAAGCGUUAUGUGACGGUACCUGGAGAAGAAGCACCGGCUAACUACGUG
rnacentral:rRNA from 1 species